rnacentral:lncRNA from 1 species
CUUUUCUUAAUACAGACUCCCAGGUGUCAGUUGCUGCCUGGAGUCCCUUUUCUUUCCUCUAUUGUUCUCUUAAUUGUUACUUCAAAACAAUUAGCUGGGCAUUCAUAUGCAAAUCAAUGCAAAUGUACAGGGGAUUGGGUGUGAGAGAAUACCACCACUCGUUAAUUUCCACUUCAAGGUCUGCUGGUAGAAACAACAAAAUUGCUUAACAAUGUACUUUUCCUGGGCCGUAAAGGGUGAACUCGCUACGAUUUCAGCCAUCCUGCUGGCUCGGCAAUUGUUGAGAUUCAGCCGGUUUUUGCAUGCCAUAGGGUCUACUAGCAAGUCCAGGUGCUGCUAAAAGAUAGUAUGAGAGCUGCAGGCUGGGGGCUUUUACCAUUCUGGGCUUUAGCAGCUGAAGCUGCCACCUUCUCCCCAUGGACAGAGCCAGAGUAUUCUCAGGUGAUGUUUUCUUCUCAUCCAAAUGGUUUCCCAUGGGUAAUUCAUGCAAAACCAGAAUCCAGCUGCUGGACUAUUUCCCCAUUUCAGGCAAAACUCUGAUAAUCCACAGUACUAUAGCUUUCAUGUGCUGGGGCACCAUGCCAGUGUUGCAACUGCUGCAGAAGGCCAGUUAAUAUAUUUACUCGUAUGUAUCUCCAGUCUGGUUUUCCAUAUGCAGUAAAGAGAAGCAUGCAGCCUUUUUCUGAAAUGUCAUGAAAGAUUACAGUGUAGGAGGUUUCAUGAAGCAUGAUACAAGGAUCUUGGCUGGAUAUAGACUCAUAUAACAUUUUUAUUAGAGAUGUGGGAGUGGAAAGGUAUCAUGCUGAUUGAAUUCACAGGUGUUAUUAAGUUAGGAGACAUGAUGCGUACUAGUACAGACAAUUAUGUAACGGAGAGGUUAACAAGUAGUGAAAUAAGGCUCAACUUAGGCAAAGGUUAUGUGGGAUAAGCCUUACUAAAAACCCUUGUUAAGGUCAAAUUCAUCACAUGCCUUUAAAUGUUUUUAAGGAACGAUGUUUAAAUUUGUUGUUUUAGACACCUGACAUCUUUAGGAAAUCAUUCAACUCAACUGCUGACUUCUAUCACUGCAGAUUCUUUUUGAAGUUUGUGCUGUGAAGACUUGGUGUAGAGUGUAAGAGUUUCCGUGCCAGCCAGCUUCUUUCCCUUUAGUCUCAUUUCAAAGUCACAUUGAUGAGAACAAACAAAAUUUCUCAAGCAAGAACAAUUGAAAACAAGCUAAUGAGAGAGUUUUCUGUUAGUCAAAUUGGCUGCUUCCUUACAGGGAUGUAGCUGCUUCCGUGAAAUAGACUCUUUAGAAUCCACUACUAGAUGUUAUUUCUUUGAUAAUUGUCUUUAUGUGAAC